rnacentral:rRNA from 1 species
UACGUAGGGCGCAAGCGUUGUCCGGAAUUAUUGGGCGUAAAGAGCUCGUAGGCGGUUUGUCGCGUCUGUCGUGAAAGCCCACGGCUUAGCCGUGGGUCUGCGGUGGAUACGGGCAGACUAGAGGCAGGUAGGGGAGAAUGGAAUUCCCGGUGUAGCGGUGAAAUGCGCAGAUAUCGGGAGGAACACCGGUGGCGAAGGCGGUUCUCUGGGCCUGUACUGACGCUGAGGAGCGAAAGCGUGGGGAGCGAACAGG